rnacentral:rRNA from 1 species
AUUGAACGCUAGCGGGAUGCCUUACACAUGCAAGUCGAACGGAGUGGCGAACGGGUGAGUAAUGUAUAGGAACGUGCCCAGUAGCGGGGGAUAACUCCGCGAAAGCGUAGCUAAUACCGCAUACUAUUGAAGCGGCCGAUAUCGUAUUAGCUAGUUGGUGGGGUAACGGCUCACCAAGGCGACGAUCCUUAGCUGGUGUGAGAGGACGACCAGCCAAACUGGGACUGAGACACGGCCCAGACUCCUACGGGAGGCAGCAGUGGGGAAUGUUGGGCAAUGGGGGAAACCCUGAUCCAGCCAUCCAGAGUGUGCGAUGAAGGCCUUCGGGUUGUAAAGCACUUUUGGCAGGAAAGCGGUACCUGCAGAAUAAGCACCGGCUAACUACGUGCCAGCAGCCGCGGUAAUUC